rnacentral:rRNA from 1 species
GACAGAGGAUGCAAGCGUUAUCCGGAAUUACUGGGCGUAAAGGGCUCGUAGGCGGCCAACUAAGUCGGAUGUGAAAUCCCCAGGCUUAACCUGGGAAACUGCAUCCGAUACUGGAUGGCUUGAAUCCGGGAGAGGGAUGCGGAAUUCCAGGUGUAGCGGUGAAAUGCGUAGAUAAUCUGGAGGAACACCGGUGGCGAAGGCGGCAUCCUGGACCGGGCAAUUGACGCUGAGGCGCGAAAG